CGGACGGGUGAGUAACGCGUGGGUAACCUGCCUUGUACAGGGGGAUAACAGUUGGAAACGGCUGCUAAUACCGCAUAAGCGCACGGCAUCGCAUGAUGCAGUGUGAAAAAACUACCGGUGGUAUAAGAUGGACCCGCGUUGGAUUAGCUAGUUGGUGAGGUAACGGCCCACCAAGGCGACGAUCCAUAGCCGACCUGAGAGGGUGACCGGCCACAUUGGGACUGAGACACGGCCCAA
rnacentral:rRNA from 1 species